rnacentral:siRNA from 1 species
AAAUAAAUUGUUCCGCGGUAUA